rnacentral:tRNA from 1 species
GGGAUUGUAGCUCAGUGGUAGAGUACUUGCCUUGCAUGCAUGAGGCCCUGGGUUGGAUCCUCAGCACCA